CCUGGUUGAUCCUGCCAGCAAUCAUAUGCUUGUUUAAAAGAUUAAGCCAUGCAUGUCCAAGUAUAAGUCGUUAUUAACGGCGAAACUGCGGAUGGCUCAUUAUAUCAGCUACAAUCUACUCGAUCGAUAAAGUUACACGGAUAACUGUAGGAAUUCUAGAGCUAAUACGUGCGAAAGGGCCGGACGGGGGGCAACCUUCGGAUGGCCGUAGUUGCGAGAAGAGAAACCGGUUCGGAGCAUUCCAAACUUCCGUCGCCUCGCGGCGGCGGGGGGCUCCGAUUCCAUCCGGGCGAAUCGUCGCAAAGCGUUGCGAACCGCGCGGGUCCGCCCGCGCGGUGAUGCGAACGAGUAUCUGCCCUAUCAACUUUCAAUCGUAGUGUAGGGGACUACGAUGGUGAUAACGGGUACGGGGAAUUAGGGUUCGAUUCCGGAGAGUUAGCCUUAAAAAUAGCUAACAUUACCAAGGUAAGCAGCAGGCGCGUAAAUUAUCCAAUCCCGAUUCGGGGAGAUAGUGACGAGAAAUAUCGGUGCGGGGUCCUACGGGCUUCGCGAUCGAAAUGAGAACAAUUUAAAAACCUUAACGAGGAACAUUUGGAGGGCAAGUCUGGUGCCAGCAGCCGCGGUAAUUCCAGCUCCAAGAGCGUAUAUUAAAGUUGUUGCGGUUAAAAAGCUCGUAGUUGAACCGAGGGGGCGGCGCGCGGCAAAAAAGCUCCGGGUCCUCCGCUCGUCGCGGGGGGUUCGGGGUCGCGCGUCCGCUUUCGAGUUCGCGGUGUUAAAACCGGCUCGAUCGGGGGCGGGGGUUUUUUCCUCCGUCGUCGGUCGCGGUCGGAUCGCGGAGUUUUACUUUGAAUAAAUUAGAGUGUUCAAAGCGGACGGAUCACGUCUCGAAUAGAUUAGCAUGGGAUAACGAAACAAGACCAAACAGGGGGGCGCUUCCGGGCGUUCCCGUCGGUCCAAAUUUGCUGGUUUCUGGGGCCGAGGUAAUGAUUAACAGGGACGGUUGGGGUCGCUCGUACUCGGUGGAGAGAGGUGAAAUUCUAAGACCCAUCGAAGACGAACAAGUGCGAAGGCAUUCGACAAGGAUGUUUUCUUUAAUCAAGAACGAAAGUUAUGGGAUCGAAGAUGAUCAGAUACCGUCGUAGUCAUAACCGUAAACGAUGUUGACUCGGGAUCCAGGGAUGUUACAUGGAUGACUCUCUGGGCACCGUGUGCGAAAGCACAAGUAUUCGAACUCCGGGGGGAGUAUGGUCGCAAGGCUGAAACUUAAAGGAAUUGACGGAAGGGCACCACCAGGUGUGGAAUCUGCGGCUUAAUUUGACCCAACACGGGGAAACUUACCCAGUCCGGACGCGACGAGGAUUGACAGAUUGAUAGUUCUUUCUUGAUUUCGUGGAAGCCGGUGCAUGGCCGUUUUUAGUUGGUGGAGCGAUUUGUCUGGUUAAGUCCGAUAACGAACGAGACCUAAUUUUA
rnacentral:rRNA from 1 species